GACAAGAUGAACACCCUGCUGGGGAGUGAGAUAAUCGAGAUCCUGUCUCUGGAGAGACUGGUGAACCAGAGCCACUGUCUGUGCCACAUUGAGCCUUGCUCAGCCUUCAUAGACCGGUGGAGGUGGACAGACAGGAUGACACUGCGGGUCUUUGCUGGCCACUGCGUGCCGUCAAUCUGGAUUACCCAGAAUUCUGUUCUCGCAUAAUCAGGAAAAUCAGGGACAGGAGACCUCUGGCACCAGAUGAGAGGAACAACCAUGGGAAGAUGGAGAGGCCGCAGCAAGCCCAAAGAGGAAAGAUUACAUGGCAGCAAAAAUGACCAUUGUAAAGUACAACGCCUUCAAGAAAAGGACCAAAGGCCCAAGACCCCUUCACUACAACCCAUUCGAAAGAUCUUGAAAAAGGGAAAGACAUUGACAGUUUUAAUAUAGUUGCAGAUCCAUUUGAUCUUGAUAAGAUUCCUAUAGUUUCAGUACAGUAAAGGUGUUAAGUGUGAACUGAUGAGCAUUUUAUAUUGUAGAAGAGCAGGUCAAGAUUAAAGACAGAAGAGGAAAGUGAAGGAGGAGAGAAUGUGGAGGGAGGGGGAGGGGCAGGGAGGUAGCACAGAGGCGGACCAGGAACACACUGUGCAGAAAGAGAAGGCCAGCAGUCCCCUAAUACCUCUGAAACGAGGGAAGCUGAAACGCAAAGCCAAAGUGAAGGAAGAGACCCUAGACCUCCCAGAAUCAGUUGAAAACUAAGACAAAGACAAAUCAAGAUAAAGGGGACAAGAAGAAGAAGAAAGAAACAGAAGUGAAAAAGGAGAACAGAAUUAUAGUAACUUGACAAGGAAUGCCCACACGCAUUUCAAUAUUACUUUCCUUUACUUUCAACCCAAUAAAUAAAAGGUGUACAGCCAUGUACAAAUGGUACAAAAUCAGCAAAACGAUACAGCCCACUCAACCUGUGGUAGAGUCACAUUGUACAGAUCCGACUCUGGGGGAUGACAUCAUCAAAGGAGAAAGGUCACGGUCAAUGCCAAUAAUAACCCUACACACAUUAAUAGUAAUCAUACUAUAGUGCAAGUAAGUACAACACAUAUUCAAUGUAAUUAUUUAUAUAGCGUCCACACUAUAACAAGAAUAAACACUAAGGAGAUUCCAGGGGCAUACUCUUAGCCAGUUGACCUCUCCGCGAACUUUGGUGAGCCCCCAGUCACUCCUUCUUAACUUGCACUGAAAUGCAAAGCCAAAAUUAGACACUGUCUGAGGAUCAAAGCCUGUUUUUAAACAAGAUAUAUGAUUUCCCUGUUUCCUGAUAGAUCUUUACCGAAAAGCCAUUUUGGCUCUGAAAGAGCAUCAGGAUCAGAGCUAGUGAGAGUAGAGGGUUGAGAGAGCGAGAGAUAGAGUCCUGGGUCCAGUGUGUGACUACGCAUUCUGCUAUCCUGGCAAGGGCAGCACUCCAGUGAUUAUGAACACGCGUAGACACCUUAGUGACUCCCCCUCAGCCUCUUCCCAUCCACCCAUCAAGACAGCUACCUGACAGACUGACUGACAGAGGGAGGCCUGCCUUGCCUGCAACCCCUCCACAACCUCGUUCUAUUACCUCACAUCUUAAACUUAUGGAUUACAACUGGAGUUACCAUCGGCUUUUGAAGGACAAUUAAAAAAUACCUGACAGCAAGUUUUUCUUAGUAGCCACUGUGUAGGAAUUACAAAGCCAAUACACCCCUAAGAAAUGUGUGUUUAUUUUAUGUUACCAAAAUAUGUUAUAUGAAAGUGUCAAUAUUUAUUUAUUAGUGAUUAUUUAAUUAUCUGCAGUAAAAGUAAACAAUUGUUCACAAACAUGAUCAAUGUACGUACUCGGCCAAACUAUUUGAAAUCCUCCUUGUAAAUAUAAAUAGAGUUUAUCUGUUUAUAUUGUAAUUUUGAUGGAAAGGGAGACAUGUUUUUAUAAAGUUUCUAGACUUUUUUAUAGGACUGUUGAAAACAUUUCCCACAGAAAAUAAAGUAAGCUAAAGGAAAAUAGCAUUAUGAGAGAUUACAACACCAGGUCAA